UACGGAGGGUGCAAGCGUUAUCCGGAUUCACUGGGUUUAAAGGGUGCGUAGGUGGGCAGGUAAGUCAGUGGUGAAAUCUCCGGGCUUAACCCGGAAACUGCCAUUGAUACUAUCUGUCUUGAAUACCGUGGAGGUGAGCGGAAUAUGUCAUGUAGCGGUGAAAUGCUUAGAUAUGACAUAGAACACCAACUGCGAAGGCAGCUCACUACGCGAAUAUUGACACUGAGGCACGAAAGCGUGGGGAUCAAACAGG
rnacentral:rRNA from 1 species